UCUAGAGCGAGCACAGCUCCUAGCUCAGUACGAAAACAAAAGUUUUUUUUAUUUUUAUAUAAAUACAUUUUUUUCGGCUAGGUUUAAGCAUAAAGUGAAAAAGUGAUAAUUUAUCCAAUAGUUAAUAUUUAAGAAUAAGACAACGAAUCAGAGUGAAUGUAUGUCAAAAUUUUUAAAGUGAACGCCAUUCUUUUUCUAAGAAGUGAAAACAAGGUCUACACGAUACAUUUAAACAUGUGGACGAUCUACACCAAGCCACAUCUCUCCUGCACCCUCCUUAUGCAGAAAGCUAGGACACUUUUCAAAAUGUAUACUUGUUGCCUGGGUGAGCAAAAUCUUUACUCGCCAAAACCGAUUCAUUCUACCAUCCUCUAACAUGAAUCCAUGCCAAUUUUCACAAAGUGUAUUUAAUAAUACGUUAAGCAUCAUUUAUCCCCACACCUCCUUAACAUAUUUCAUAAUCAUAUAAGUAUAAACAAAGUGCAUAAAAUCCACCCAAGCUGCUUCGAUAACUCCCCUGGUUCAGUCCACUCAUUGACAAGGAAAUCUAGAAAGUAAUUGCGAUAUCUCAGAGAAAAACUAAUACAAUUUAAAUAAUAA